rnacentral:rRNA from 1 species
CACGUAGGCACCAAGCGUUAUCCGGAUUUAUUGGGCGUAAAGAGCUCGUAGGCGGUUCGGUAAGUCGGGUGUGAAAACUCUGGGCUCAACCCAGAGAGGCCACCCGAUACUGCUGUGACUAGAGUGCGGUAGGGGAGCGGGGAAUUCCUGGUGUAGCGGUGAAAUGCGCAGAUAUUAGGAGGAACACCGGUGGCGAAGGCGCCACUCUGGGCCGAAACUGACGCUGAGGAGCGAAAGCAUGGGUAGCAAACAGG